rnacentral:lncRNA from 1 species
ACUUAGGUUAACUUUCAUUGUGUUUUUAGUGAUGGACUAGUUUGAAGCAUUUGGAAAAGAAUGAAGGAUUAAUUGGCCAUUUGAUGAAAAGUUCGGAGAUCAUAUUUCAUACUUUGAAAGUUGAGGACUUGAAGAAAAAUAAUUUAAUAAUUGGGCCUCAAUUGGACCUUGAACUGGAANAAAAAAGGGCAAUUGAGGAAUUGGAGAGAAUUCUUUGCGGAGUAAAACAUUGGGCUGCGUGCAAAUUGGAAGAGAAUUGGAGUUCUUUUGUUAAUCAAAUGGGGCCUGAUUUUAUAUAUUGACACAUACAGAAGCCGGCAGCUUGGAGAGUGGAAUUAAAAGAAACAUUGCAGCUGACUUGGACUCUAACAAACAAAUAAAAGUGGGCUGUUGGGCUGUUGGUUAAUAUAUAUACACACACAGAUAUAUUACACACACACAAAAAAAAAAAGAGAUUAACCUAGCAAAAAGAGGGGGGGACGGCUGGGAAUUUCACAAAAAAAGGGGAGAUUAUUACACGCCAACUGGGGGGGAAUUAAGAAGGCAGCAACUUGAAGGAAGAAAAGAAAACAGUUGGGCAGCAGUUUUGGGGAAUAGAUACACAUAUAAGUUGGCAACCAGUAGGGAGAAGGGAAAGAAAAACAUUGCAGGCACUAAAAACUCUUAUUGGCACCAAAAAGAGGGUUGCAUGCAUGCGGCAGCCAAGUGGAGAGAAAAAAAGAAGAAUUUUUGGGUUUGCUUUGAAAGAAAAACAUUGCAGCUGGAAUUAAGAGAUACACAAUAAACAAGCACGGAAAAAUGGGAAGUUG